GACAGGGCUGGCGGGCGCGGCGCCGCGGACGGGCACGGUCUGUCCGAUCGAGUAGUCCUCUGCGGUUUGGGCGCAUUCGACGCGCACCCCCUGGUA
rnacentral:tRNA from 1 species